GCGGCCAUAGUCUAGUGGUAGGAUGUCAGCUUGCCAAGCUGAAGACCCGGGUUCGAAUCCCGGUGGCCGCA
rnacentral:tRNA from 1 species